GACGAACGCUGGCGGCGUGCUUAACACAUGCAAGUCGAACGCUGAAGCACCAGCUUGCUGGUGUGGAUGAGUGGCGAACGGGUGAGUAAUACGUGAGUAACCUGCCCUUGACUCUGGGAUAAGCCCGGGAAACUGGGUCUAAUACUGGAUGCUACAUGUCACCGCAUGGUGGUGUGUGGAAAGGGUUUACUGGUCUUGGAUGGGCUCACGGCCUAUCAGCUUGUUGGUGAGGUAAUGGCUCACCAAGGCGACGACGGGUAGCCGGCCUGAGAGGGUGACCGGCCACACUGGGACUGAGACACGGCCCGGACUCCUACGGGAGGCAGCAGUGGGGAAUAUUGCACAAUGGGCGAAAGCCUGAUGCAGCGACGCCGCGUGAGGGAUGACGGCCUUCGGGUUGUAAACCUCUUUCAGCAGGGAAGAAGCCACAAGUGACGGUACCUGCAGAAGAAGCGCCGGCUAACUACGUG
rnacentral:rRNA from 1 species